UUAACACAUGCAAGUCGAACGGUAACAGGAAGCAGCUUGCUGCUUCGCUGACGAGUGGCGGACGGGUGAGUAAUGUCUGGGAAACUGCCUGAUGGAGGGGGAUAACUACUGGAAACGGUAGCUAAUACCGCAUAACGUCGCAAGACCAAAGAGGGGGACCUUCGGGCCUCUUGCCAUCGGAUGUGCCCAGAUGGGAUUAGCUAGUAGGUGGGGUAACGGCUCACCUAGGCGACGAUCCCUAGCUGGUCUGAGAGGAUGACCAGCCACACUGGAACUGAGACACGGUCCAGACUCCUACGGGAGGCAGCAGUGGGGAAUAUUGCACAAUGGGCGCAAGCCUGAUGCAGCCAUGCCGCGUGUAUGAAGAAGGCCUUCGGGUUGUAAAGUACUUUCAGCGGGGAGGAAGGCGAUAAGGUUAAUAACCUUGUCGAUUGACGUUACCCGCAGAAGAAGCACCGGCUAACUCCGUGCCAGCAGCCGCGGUAAUACGGAGGGUGCAAGCGUUAAUCGGAAUUACUGGGCGUAAAGCGCACGCAGGCGGUCUGUCAAGUCGGAUGUGAAAUCCCCGGGCUCAACCUGGGAACUGCAUUCGAAACUGGCAGGCUAGAGUCUUGUAGAGGGGGGUAGAAUUCCAGGUGUAGCGGUGAAAUGCGUAGA
rnacentral:rRNA from 1 species